GAUGAACGCUGGCGGCGUGCUUAACACAUGCAAGUCGAACGGAGUCCAGCCUUUAAGACCUUCGGGUCAAAGUGGGGAAGACUGAGUGGCGGACGGGUUAGUAACACGUGGGCAACCUGGCUCAUAGAGGGGGAUAACAGAGAGAAAUAUCUGCUAAUACCGCAUAAGCACACACUGCCGCAUGGCAGUGGGUGAAAAGAGAAUCGCUAUGAGAUGGACCCGCGUCUGACUAGCCAGUUGGCAGGGUAAGAGCCUACCAAAGCGACGAACAGUAGCCGAUCUGAGAGGAUGAACGGCCACAUUGGGACUGAGACACGGACCAAACUCCUACGGGAGGCAGCAGUGGGGGAUAUUGCACAAUGGGGGGAACCCUGAUGCAGCGACGCCGCGGGAGUGAAGAAGUAUUUCGGUAUGUAAAGCUCUAUCAGCAGAGAAGAUAAUGACAGUACCUGAAGAAGAAGCCCCGGCUAACUACGUG
rnacentral:rRNA from 1 species